UACGAAGGGGGCUAGCGUUGCUCGGAUUGACUGGGCGUAAAGGGCGCGUAGGCGGUUCGUACAGUCAGACGUGAAAUUCCUGGGCUCAACCUGGGGGCUGCGUUUGAUACGUGCGGACUUGAGUGCGGAAGAGGGUCGUGGAAUUCCCAGUGUAGAGGUGAAAUUCGUAGAUAUUGGGAAGAACACCGGUGGCGAAGGCGGCGACCUGGUCCGAUACUGACGCUGAUGCGCGAAAGCCAGGGGAGCAAACGGG
rnacentral:rRNA from 1 species